UACGUAGGGGGCAAGCGUUGUCCGGAAUCAUUGGGCGUAAAGCGCGUGUAGGCGGCUGAGUAAGUCUGCUCUGAAAGCCCGGGGCUCAACCCCGGGAGGCGGGUGGAUACUGCUCAGCUCGAGUCCGGAAGAGGAGUGUGGAAUUCCUGGUGUAGCGGUGAAAUGCGCAGAUAUCAGGAGGAACACCGAUGGCGAAGGCAGGUCUCUGGGCAGUUACUGACGCUGAGGAGCGAAAGCAUGGGGAGCGAACAGG
rnacentral:rRNA from 1 species